GGAUCCAUGAUGACUCCCAUAAUUACAUUCCUUUGAAGUCUGAAAAAAAUGAGUGAGCAAUCCCUACCGUCUCCACAUCGGGACUGAGGUCC